rnacentral:rRNA from 1 species
UACAGAGGGUGCAAGUGUUAUUCCUCGUAAUUUGGCGUAAAGGGUACGUAGACGGUUAAAUAACUUAAAAAUAAAAGUACAUGGGAGAACCGUGGUAAUAUUUUUAAAAGUGUUAGAACUAGAGUUGGGAGAGGUAAGUCGAUCUUUCACAGUAGAAGUAAAAUACGAAGACUAUGAAGGGGCAACCAAAUGGCGAAGGCAACUUACCAAAAAAACUGACGUUGAGGUACGAAGGCAUGGGGAUCAAAUGGG